rnacentral:lncRNA from 1 species
UGUCAUUUAUAAACAUAAUUAAACUAAAUAAUUCUAAAACAAAAUUAACCUAAUAAUUCUUAAAACAAAAUUAACCUAAAAAAAUAUAAUUCCCGCUCCUUCCUCUCCUCCUCUUCUUCCUCUCCUUCCUCUUCUACUUCUUCUCUUUUUCUUCUAGUUCUCCUCUUCUUCUAUUUUUCCUCUACUUCUCGUCUUCAUUCCCAUUUCCGGCAAUUCUAGGGCACUUCAUAUGUCCUAGUUUCUAGCACUAGUCAUGCCGAAAUUCACGAAAAAAUUCGGCAUGACCUUUGCUAAAAAGUGGACAUAUGGAGCGCCUGAAAUUUGCCGGAACGGAAAUGAAUCAACAUUCUGGCAAAACAUAGGUCACUCGGAUAUAGCAACAAUUUGGAACUAAAUUAAGUACAGAUCUCUGCAUUGUCUGUUUAUACACUUCUGAAUGCAUCAAGAGCAUCCAAAAUCUGGAGCAAACAAUGAUUGAAAUUUUCCAAAAUCUGAAUGCACCAAGAGCAUCCAGAGUCUAGAGAAAACAAUGAUUAAAUUUUCAGCUAAGGACAUGGCGAUUUAUUUAACCUAUCAUGCAUCUCAGCUACAACAACAAAUAUACAACAGGUGCGCCAAUAUGUGCUGUCAGCUAUGUGCCAAUGUUUUUAACAUAGCAAAAGCUAGGCAGCACUUAAUCCACAUGUCAAAAUGCUACCAACACCAUAGAGAAAAAAACCCAGAACUCUAGGAUUUUUCUUUGAAGAUUUAACAGAAAAACUUAAGCUAAGGAAACAAUCAUCUGCCAUGCUUAUGUUCUAAAUUCUCAUUAACAAAUCUGAACCUCCAGUCUACAAACGUAACAAAACAGACAAUUGUAUAAGCUACAAACAUAAUCAUAAAAAAA